rnacentral:tRNA from 1 species
GGGUAUAGCUCAGUGGUAGAGCACCUGCCUAGCCUGUACGAGGCCCUGGGUUCCAUCCCCAGUACCACCA